rnacentral:misc_RNA from 1 species
GUAACAAGUCAGGUCCUUGGGUCUGCUUGCGGUUUGUUACGAACACAAGCUUACCUUAAAUGAAUUAGCUGGACUUCAGCAGAGUUGUUAAGUAACAUUGAAAACUCUCGUAAUAUGAAGUCUGCUCUCUAAUCAUUCUCUUUCGAGAGAAUACUUUCUAUUUUGGCCUCAAAUCAGGUAGGACUACCCGCUGAACUUAA